UACGUUUCCACCGGGGACGACGACGUCCCCGCCGCCGCCGCGGCGCCCCAUAUGACCUCCGCCUCGUCCAGCUCCACCGCCGCGUCCGCCCCGUGCUGCGGCGCCUGCGGCGCCGCGAACAGCCUGUGCGCCGCCACCAUCGACAUGCCACUGCUCCGUCCGGCCAUCGCCGCGUACGAGACUGCGAAUACGGCGUGGCGUCGCGUCGCGUCGCGGGAGAAAGCAACCGAUGGAAUGGAAAAGAGAAGAGAGAAACGGAGGCGACGUCGCCGUCUGUUUUUCACUAC
rnacentral:lncRNA from 1 species